AGGGAGCCUGAGAAACGGCUACCACAUCCAUGGAAG
rnacentral:rRNA from 1 species